GACAGAGGAUGCAAGCGUUAUCCGGAAUCAUUGGGCGUAAAGCGCGCGUAGGCGGCCCCGGUAAGUCCGCUGUGAAAGUCAAAAGGCUCAACCUUUGAAUGUCAGCGGAUACUGCCGGGCUAGAGUCCGGAAGAGGCGAGUGGAACUCCCUGGUGUAGCGGUGGAAUGCGCAGAUAUCAGGAAGAACACCAACGGCGAAGGCAGCUCGCUGGGACGGAACUGACGCUGAGGCGCGAAAGCGUGGGGAGCGAACAGG
rnacentral:rRNA from 1 species